rfam:Laetiporus sulphureus 93-53 unplaced genomic scaffold LAESTscaffold_86, whole genome shotgun sequence.
GCUCUCGUCGUCUAAUGGCUAUGAUGUCAGAUUCCUAUAUAAUGUGGUCGGGUUAUCUGAAGGCUCCGGGUUCGAGUCCCGGCGGGAGUA